rnacentral:rRNA from 1 species
CGGAUUUACUGGGCGGAAAGGGUGCGUAGGCGGUCUUUCAAGUCAGGAGUGAAAGGCUACGGCUCAACCGUAGUAAGCUCUUGAAACUGGGAGACUUGAGUGCAGGAGAGGAGAGUGGAAUUCCUAGGGUAGCGGUGAAAUGCGUAGAUAUUAGGAGGAACACCAGUUGCGAAGGCGGCUCUCUGGACUGUAACUGACGCUGAGGCACGAAAGCGUGGGGAGCAAACAGGAUUAGAUACCCUGGUAGUCCACGCUGUAAACGAUGAGUACUAGGUGUCGGGGGUUACCCCC